rnacentral:rRNA from 1 species
CCUACGGGCGGCAGCAGUGGGGAAUAUUGGACAAUGGGGGGAACCCUGAUCCAGCCAUGCCGCGUGUGUGAAGAAGGCCCUCGGGUUGUAAAGCACUUUCAGUGAGGAAGAACGCCUGGUGGUUAAUACCCAUCAGGAAAGACAUCACUCACAGAAGAAGCACCGGCUAACUCCGUGCCAGCAGCCGCGGGAAUACGGAGGGUGCGAGCGUUAAUCGGAAUUACUGGGCGUAAAGCGCGCGUAGGUGGCUUGAUAAGCCGGUUGUGAAAGCCCCGGGCUCAACCUGGGAACGGCAUCCGGAACUGUCAAGCUAGAGUGCAGGAGAGGAAGGUAGAAUUCCCGGUGUAGCGGUGAAAUGCGUAGAGAUCGGGAGGAAUACCAGUGGCGAAGGCGGCCUUCUGGACUGACACUGACACUGAGGUGCGAAAGCGUGGGUAGCAAACAGGAUUAGAUACCCGUGUAGUC